CGGUGGCGAUAGCAAGGGGGACCCACCCGUUCCCAUGCCGAACACGGAAGUUAAGCCCCUUCACGUCGAUGAUACUUGGUGGGAGACUGCCUGGGAAAGUAGAUAGUUGCCG
rnacentral:rRNA from 1 species